rnacentral:lncRNA from 1 species
CUGUCUGGUACAACAAGUUCAGUCCCAGUGAAAUGCUCUUUUAAAUAAACGUGGCAGUGCAGUGCAUUCAGCCAAAGCGUGUGUGUAGCAACGCGGUAAGGCUGCCUUAAACUGGCCUCUUCCUGACUUCAGUUCAAAGACACGUUAUUAAAUGAGUUAAAAUUCUGCAAGCUGAGGGGAAGGGGCUAGAAAGAAAGACAUGAUAGGAAUCAGUGCAAAGAUGGUUUUCCAGAGUAAGUGCCCCACAGUUAGUGAUAAUGGAGUUGUUUAAAAGCAAAUCAUUCUGUCAUUACUUCACAGCUUUUGAUAAACAUACAAUUAGUUUGAAAUGAACAUAAAUAGAUGUGUUUGAAGCCCAAUGCAGCAAUACACAUUUAAUUGACUUCCGCAGGAAUAAAUACUUCUUGCCUGUGAAGAACUUAACAAGAAGGAUUUUCAGUGAAAAUUUUUUCUGCAUACACUGUAUUCAGUCUUGACUGGCAGUGGUGACGCUUAGGGUAUGUCAUGAUAAAUGAUAAAUUGUACAGAACCCUUCUCUGAAGGUGUUGCUUGAACUGGCUCAGAAGUAGUGCAAGAAAUAAAGUGGGCAACUUGGGGGUGAGUUGUAGCAGCUUGUCAGAUAGGGAUCUACUCCCAAAAGGCCAGGUGGGUUCUGCUAACUUACUGGCGUGGGUGAUUAAAUAGCUGUUGGAGCCGUGAUGGAAAUUGAGAUACUCCAUUGAGUGCUUCUUCCAAGGCAAGGAACUAUGAAAGCAUUAAUUGUAUUUACAGCUAUUUUUUUAAGGGAAUUCUAAGAAACAAAAUGGUCUGUAUAGGUUAUCUCAACUUACAUUCAGUUCCAGUGUUCAAUUGUCUGAACUGUUUGUCAUUUCUGUUGCUUUGCAGCAUGAGGCUGAGAUCCUGUGAGCCACUGUUGAAAGAAGCUGGUUCCCUCAUAAAUGGUGUCCCAUUUGUGUAGCAGUUGAUGGAGUUGUUGGCCCUGAAUAUAUACGCUCAUCCUCACUCCGUGUAGGCAGUAUGUGGGGCUGAUGCAUCCUCAGGUGCAGAACACUUCUAAUGUCAUCUUGUGAGUUCUGGGUAUAAUCCCAAAGUGCUGGCAGCAUGUGGUAGCAAAACGUUGACAUAAUUACCGAGCUUUGUAUUGGUAAAAAUACCAACUUACACAAAGAGCAAUCUUCAGUGCAUCUGAGAUUAAAUUGGACCUGGAUAUCAGAAUAGGGCUAUUGUCACUAAUUAAAGGACUCUAAUUUAGCCCAUUUACUUGUCUAUUUUAGAAGAACAGAAGGCAUUCAAAAGAGGAGACCAAGUUUUAAAGCCCUUCUAUUCAGUUCUGUUCCCUCUGUUGACUGUUUAGUAAGUCCACUACACAAUUAUGGUCUGAAGAUCAAAACGAAUUUCAUAAAUUCCACACACACAUUUUGGCAGCCAUGGGAGAUCACAGCAUACUGUUUGUGCCUGGAGAUAGCUUAGUACGGCCUCCAGUUCUAUUUUACCCUUUCUUGACCUGAAAGAAUGUAAAAGUAGAAGCAAUAUAUCAUUCUAAAGUUGCAGAUAAAAGAUGUGCGAAGGCUGAGCUGUUUCUUAGUGCCAUCAUGAGUCAGCAGUGCUUGAAAGGCUCUUUGGGACUGGGCCAUGCGGUACUGCUGCUGCUCACAGGUUUGGCUGGCCCAUGUGCAGUGGGGCAGUCUGUAAUUCCAGUUCCAGUGACCUUGGAGAUACGGCAGUGUAAUAUCCACAAACUUUGGUGGAGUGGCAUAUGGCUGUAAUAGGCAAGCUGUCUGCUCACCACAACUGCUUCUUUGGGCUUCAGACACAACAAUCUACUGACAAAGUAUGAGGAUAUUUGGUACCUAAGCCUGCUAUGUGGCUUAGGCAUUGGUCUGCCAUACAGCUGUUCUAUUUAGUUUUAGAAGGGGCAGCCAGUAAAAAGGAAGUAUUUUAACUUCUUCCUAGUAGUUCAAGCACUAAGUAUUUUAAACAGAUAGUACUUCUGGCUGAUCUCAUCUGGCUUUGAAUCACUAAUUUUAGCAAUAAAGCAACCCCUGGUGAACAGGAUGUGAAGAGAGAGAAACAUUAGGAAUUUAUUGGCACGUUCCUCCAUUAGUUUCAGUGUUAAACUCUAUUUGCAGAGGAACAGGAUGCAGAGCAAAAUAAAAGGAUAAAAAAAGAAGCUGGCUUGGCCAGAAAUUGACUUGAUUUUUGAACAGGGGCAAAUGGCUUCCCUACCUGCCUCGCUGCUUCACAUGUAUCUGGCUUGCAGUGCUGACUGACUUUCAGAGCCCCUGGCAACGAGUAGGAUGAGUGUGCUUAUUAUAAGUAGCAUUAAAUUCACUGUGUCGAGUCUGUACUGUUGCUGUAAAGUGGAAAACGUGGAAAAUACCUUCCAAGAUUAAUUUCAAAUUAGUCGAUCAGUUCAUCUUCAAAAUUGAGCCAUAAAGCCACAAUGCCAAGUUGCUGUUGUGUGUGAUUAGUUAGUAAAUAUUAUUCCAUUGCAAGAAAAAAAAAAAAGAUGGUGGAUUUUAGAAGACACUGAUGGGGGGAAGUGACUCAGAGCGCUUGAUGUGGUAUCAAACCAGAGCAAGACAAGUUAAGGACAUUUAAACUGGAGUAUUUUUGUAUAAACAAACAAACGUAGCCAUAAAGCCAGGCCAACCUGCCUUAUUUCUGUAUGUUCAUACAUGGUACAUAAGUAGAUAUGACUCCUCCCUGUGCCAGAUGGUUCUUGGAGAACUUUAGAUUUGACAAAAGCCCAACAGUGAGAAUCCACUUUGGACUGAUCUCUUGGAGUUCCCUAUUUGGAAAACAUUACAGAAAAAGAAAAUCUUCCAACGCUGAAAAAUACAUAAAAAGAAAGUUCUAUCUAUGCUUUUAGAAAGUAUUCUUUCUGCUUUUGUAAUGUAGGAGAGCACUAAAAAUUGUACUGGGUUACGUAUAUAGAUGCAUGCUUAUUUAUUUUAAACAAGGAAAUGGAGUUUUUUUAGGACAGACAAUACAAGUAUUUUAUAACUUUUAUAACAACUUCUCCCAGAAGACUUGACAUAAAUGGUAAUAUUGAUAAAGUAAUAAUUCUUUAUUGAAAUUGGAAGAAGGCAGGAAGUUUUAUAAAAUAUCACACCGCUUCCCAAUUUGCUUACAACGCAGUUUACUUAAUUUUGGGUACUGUUGUCCUCACGUAUGUAUAAUCCUGAUACCAAGAGUAACUACUCAAAUAUUGUAAGCUUCUUCUUAAAGGAUAAGUUGGUUAAAUGGACUGCAAUGCAAGAUAAGGAGAACUAAAAAGAGACAGAAUGGGUGAAUACAGUAAUAUUCUAGCAAUCAAUGAAAAGUAAUUUUGAAAAAAUGUAUUCACUUUUUUUUUUUAAUUAGGGCUGCUGUAGGGAAAUUCAAACAGUAGAAACAGUAGGAGUGGAAGGCAGCUGUACCAAACUGAAUCCUUGCCUUAAAAAUGAAUGUGAAGGAAAGAAAAACGAUGUCUGGCAGCAGCAGACAAGGAAUGCUGCACCAAGAAGUCUGCUAAUGCCAUAUGUACAACACGUGGCAGAAAGCAGUUCCUCCUUGCUCACCAGCCUUACAAUCCAUCAUAGCAAAGUGUUGACACUGCAGGUUGUACAAAAGGGCAUGUGAACAUCAAAGAGAAUGUCUUUGCCUUUGAAAAACCCUCGACUGGUCUGCAUGCUUGGCAGCAUUGACACGAAUCUGUCAGCACAAAAUCUUAUUGCUUUGCCAGCUUAACUAAUGUUUUAACUUCCUGAAAGUAACUUCCUGAAAGUUUUUAAUUAGCAGAAAGUUUGUGUGGAAAUUGAUGUCUCUCUUUGUUCUCUCGGUUGCAUCAGAUAAUCCCCUUCCAUAAUUCUGACUGAUAUCUAUAUUUUAGUUGAUCUGAUUUCUCUCUUGAUCUGAUGCAUAGCUAGGAUUUUGCUUUAAUUUUAUGGCUGGUACUGACUGACUGCCCUUCUGGCCUCUGAACACACCAAAGAGAAGAAUAAGUUGCAUCAGAUACCUCAACAAAAGAUCCCAACUUUCUCCCUGACCUUGCCUCGACUAUAUUUUUGGACCACAGAGAUACAUUCUCACUCAUUUGUUGUUCAGGUAUUUCUGGACAGCAUGAAAUGAAGAGAGUCCUAUCAGUUCUUAUUUGUGAAAUGGUAUGAUUGAUAACCCAAGAGGACUUCUUUCUCCCCAUCUCAUCUCUCUCCUCAGCACUCCAUAUUUUCUCUUUUCUUGUCUAAAAUACACUUUCUUCUUCCGACACAUGAAAGCAGUGCUGCUGCCCAGCUGCUGCGUUCAUUCUCAGUCCCUUUGUAACACCCCGUAGACCUCAUUUUUCCUCACUUGAACACUCCUCGAUUCAGAAGGCGAGUGUCACACUGCAGUGGGGACUGACCCUUCUUCUCUUUUGUGCUCACUGCCAGCAAAGGCUCCUUUGUAUCUCCCACUCUGACUCACACAUUGCUAGGAAUUUGCCUUUAAAAUUGCCCACCGCCCACCAUGUAUCUCAGAUUUCUGAUUAUUUUCUUCAACGAUCUGUGAAAUAUAGCAUCGUCGCCCCCCCCUUUUUUUUCUUUCUUAUGCAUACUUUGAUCUCUUGUUUUAAACAGUAAAGCUCUCCUCAGCAUUAAGGGCGAGAAGUCAGGGCUUUGUUUAUCCAUGAAAAAUGUUAUUUAUGACCUGCCAUAGGGACUUGUUCUUAUGUGCAGGGGGUUGUGAAGUGGGACAGUGGGUGAAUUCAUGACACCAGUCAGCAUGCAGAUAUGCAGGGAGAGCAGUGAGCCAAGUUAAGAUCGCAAGCACACACAGAGAGAAACUGGCAGAACGGCAGAGUUCAUCUCCCAUGAUAGUAAAUGGGAAAGCCCAGCUGCAACUUCGAGUGGCACAUUCAGAACUGAUUUUUUUUGUCAUGCACAUGGACCUCAGUAGCAUGAAUUUACCUUAGUUUGUUAAGCAAAUUAUUUUAGAGAGUCCUUUUUACAACUUCUUCUUCAUUUUGUCCAUGACUUUCCCAAUGAGUCCAUCCUUGGGGUCCCCACCACAAUUCUGCCAUUUUGGCCCUGGAUUUUGGCAUUGUGCCCUUGCUGCACAGCAGGUCAAUGGCAUCCUGGGUGCAUUAUCUCCAGCAGGCUGAGGGAUUGAUCCUUCCCCUCUGCUCCGCACUGGUGAAGCCACAUGUGGGGAGCUGGAUACAGUUCUGACCCCUCACACCAAUACAAGGGAGACCUAGGCAUACCAGAGAGAGCCCAGUGAAGGGCCAUAAGGAUGAGGAGGGGCCUGGAGCACCUCUCCUGUGAGGAAAGGCUGAGAGAUCUUGUUGGUCU